rnacentral:rRNA from 1 species
UAAGGGGCACGUGUGCCCUGGUGACGGUACCUUAAGAAUAAGGACCGGCUAACUCCGUGCCAGCAGCCGCGGUAAUACGGAGGGUCCGAGCGUUAUCCGGAAUCAUUGGGUUUAAAGGGUCCGCAGGCGGGCAAUUAAGUCAGGGGUGAAAUGGUACGGCUCAACCGUAGCACUGCCCUUGAUACUGGUUGUCUUGAGUCAUAGUGGAGUGGGCGGAAUAUGUAGUGUAGCGGUGAAAUGCAUAGAUUUUACAUAGAACACCGAUCGCGAAGGCAGGUCACUA